GUAUUAUAGUUUAUAGGGCUUUGUGCGCCCACUAAAGCGUUCUUUAACAUAAACGAGUGUGUAGAUAAAAUCAUAGGAACUUUAGAAAAAGCAGUUACUUUCAUAACCACAGAUUUCCAGUGAACAAAGUUGCCUUUGAUCAACUAAUGUUCCUAUGCAUAGUGCACAUGGUGGAAAGACAAAAAUGACAAGUGUGCACUUGCUCAGUAUAUAGAGCCAGCAACAACCCAUCAAGUUUAUUCUGUAAUGAUCCUUCCGCAGGUUCACCUACGGAAA
rnacentral:misc_RNA from 1 species